CAGAUCUGACAGGAAAGUGCCUCUGAUGCCUCUGAUUGGAUGGAAAGAGCUGUGACCGUUGUAAAAAGUGAGAUCCGACGCAAUCUAUCGCACCUCCCCCUCCGGCCCACUGAUGGAUUGACCCACCUGUAGUAGGCCCUCAGGCGGAGCUCCACCAGGAGGCUCAUAUCCACAGUGCGGCUGUAAUGCAGCACUACAGCACAGUGGCAGGGUGCAACCUGUUUCUCCUUUCACACAGAAUCAACAGACAGCAGCCCUGCUGGCCCGAGGGUCAUAUGAGGACCUCUCCGUGACCCCUGACCUCAUUUUGAACCAAGACCCUCGAGUUCAUCCACAUCUGCGGCUGUAGAGAAGGUCACUGGAGAGUUUGCCUUUACUCUGACAUAACAAGCAGAAUGAGGUUUGUUAUUAAAAAGGCAAAAAGUCAAUAAAAUCUAAGUUUGUGAUUUAAUUAGUUAGAAUAGCAGUAACAGUAAUUAUCUACUUCACAAAAUAAUCACACAUUAAUUAGGCAGCAGGCUACAUGCAUUAUAUUAGAAUCACAAGAGCACUGUAAUGUAAAUCAAGGCCAAAUUAGACUAUUUGAAAAUAGAUUAUAUGAAAUUCAUAAUGCGCUUUGUAGUCCAUUAUGUCUUUGCAUACAUAUUUGUUACCACAGAUAAUAAUUCAG